rnacentral:rRNA from 1 species
UACGUAGGAGGCGAGCGUUGUCCGGAAUUACUGGGCGUAAAGCGUGUGUAGGCGGCCAUGUAAGUCGGGUGUGAAAGCCCCGGGCUCAACCCGGGAAGUGCACUCGAAACUGCGUGGCUUGAGUAUCGGAGAGGUUGGUGGAAUUCUCGGUGUAGAGGUGAAAUUCGUAGAUAUCGAGAGGAACACCGGUGGCGAAGGCGGCCAACUGGACGAAUACUGACGCUGAGACACGAAAGCGUGGGGAGCAAACAGG